GAUGAACGCUGGCGGCGUGCCUAAUACAUGCAAGUCGAGCGAACAGAUGAGGAGCUUGCUCCUCUGACGUUAGCGGCGGACGGGUGAGUAACACGUGGAUAACCUACCUAUAAGACUGGGAUAACUUCGGGAAACCGGAGCUAAUACCGGAUAAUAUAUUGAACCGCAUGGUUCAAUAGUGAAAGACGGUUUUGCUGUCACUUAUAGAUGGAUCCGCGCCGCAUUAGCUAGUUGGUAAGGUAACGGCUUACCAAGGCAACGAUGCGUAGCCGACCUGAGAGGGGGAUCGCCCCCCUGGGAACGAGAACGGGGCCCAACCCCCAAGGGGGGGAAGCGGAGGGAAACCUUCGGAAAGGGGGGAAAGCCGAAGGGGGAAACCCCGGGGGAGUAGGAAGGGCUUUGGAAGCGUAAACCCUGUUUUUUGGGGAAAAAAAAAGUGGUAAGAACCAUGCCCGUUUUGACGGGACCCAAACAAAAAACCCCGGGUAAACCCGGG
rnacentral:rRNA from 1 species